UGCAUCUGAAGGUUAUAAGGAUGAGAGCCUCCGGGGAAGGAGGUUCGACUCGAGCAAAGCGAGAGAACGUUGCUUCAGCAACGGCCCGCAGGCGAGUCACGAAGUGACGAGUAGUCCUCUCUCGUCGACCA
rnacentral:sRNA from 1 species